AGGAAAUAAUAAGAGAGAAGAAAAAAAAUCAAAGAGAACACACUAACUCCAUUGCAUGUCUUUCUCAAUCCUUUCAUCAUCUUAUCAUAGAAACAUCUCACACCUAUAUUAGAGUAAAAUAGGACCAAGAGGGAGAGUGAAAUGAGAAAUUAUGAGAAAGAAGAAAAGAAAAGCUAGGAUUUUAAUAUAGGAGAAGAAGUUUAGAGUUCUUCUAUGUUGAGAAGGAAGAUGGAAAUGUGAAGAGGAGUUAAAGUUUCACUUGUAGAAGAAAGAAUUAGAAUAAAAUUUUAGAGUCUCAAAUCUCUUCUUAAGGAGCGAGGGUAAGUGAGGCACCAGACUUAAUUAUGUCCAAUCUUAUCAAAAGAGGUUAUUCAAGUAGAGGAUAUUGGGUGAAACCAGUGUAAUCUUUAUGAUUUACUUGUUAUAUUGAGUUUAAGUCAUUAGAUAACUCAUAUCUAGUGGCUUAAUAUGUUUGAAAGAUUUGAGGUUAGAGGUACAAGAGGUAUUUGAAUAUAGCUUACGAAGAAAUAAUAUUAUAUUAGUUUGAAGUAUAGUUUGUCGAGAAGAUUUUCCAUGAUUAGCACACCGACAUGGCUUGAAAACAUCAAUAAUUGUUUUUUAUUAAUCUAUGUUACUGAGUUUUAUGCUCA